GUGCUCACUUUGGCAGCACAUAUACUAAAAUUGGGACAAUACAGAGAUUAGGAUGGCCCCUGUGCAAGGGUGACAGACAAAUUUGUGAAGUGUUCCAUAAUUUU